CUUCGGGUUGUAAACCUCUUUUAUCGGGGAGCAAGCGAGAGUGAGUUUACCCGUUGAAUAAGCACCGGCUAACUACGUGCCAGCAGCCGCGGUAAUACGUAGGGUGCAAGCGUUAUCCGGAAUUAUUGGGCGUAAAGGGCUCGUAGGCGGUUCGUCGCGUCCGGUGUGAAAGUCCAUCGCUUAACGGUGGAUCCGCGCCGGGUACGGGCGGGCUUGAGUGCGGUAGGGGAGACUGGAAUUCCCGGUGUAACGGUGGAAUGUGUAGAUAUCGGGAAGAACACCAAUGGCGAAGGCAGGUCUCUGGGCCGUUACUGACGCUGAGGAGCGAAAGCGUGGGGAGCGAACAGGAUUAGAUACCCUGGUAGUCCACGCCGUAAACGGUGGAUGCUGGAUGUGGGGCCCGUUCCACGGGUUCCGUGUCGGAGCUAACGCGUUAAGCAUCCCGCCUGGGGAGUACGGCCGCAAGGCUAAAACUCAAAGAAAUUGACGGGGGCCCGCACAAGCGGCGGAGCAUGCGGAUUAAUUCGAUGCAACGCGAAGAACCUUACCUGGGCUUGACAUGUUCCCGACGGUCGUAGAGAUACGGCUUCCCUUCGGGGCGGGUUCACAGGUGGUGCAUGGUCGUCGUCAGCUCGUGUCGUGAGAUGUUGGGUUAAGUCCCGCAACGAGCGCAACCCUCGCCCCGUGUUGCCAGCGGAUUAUGCCGGGAACUCACGGGGGACCGCCGGGGUUAACUCGGAGGAAGGUGGGGAUGACGUCAGAUCAUCAUGCCCCUUACGUCCAGGGCUUCACGCAUGCUACAAUGGCCGGUACAACGGGAUGCGACGCGGCGACGCGGAGCGGAUCCCUGAAAACCGGUCUCAGUUCGGAUCGCAGUCUGCAACUCGACUGCGUGAAGGCGGAGUCGCUAGUAAUCGCGAAUCAGCAACGUCGCGGUGAAUGCGUUCCCGGGCCUUGUACACACCGCCCGUCAAGUCAUGAAAGUGGGCAGCACCCGAAGCCGGUGGCCUAACCCCUUGUGGGAUGGAGCCGUCUAAGGUGAGGCUCGUGAUUGGGACUAAGUCGUAACAAGGUAGCCGUACCGGAAGGUGCGGCUG
rnacentral:rRNA from 1 species